GUAGUCAUAUGCUUGUCUCAAAGAUUAAGCCAUGCAUGUCUAAGUAUAAGCAAUUAUACCGUGAAACUGCGAAUGGCUCAUUAAAUCAGUUAUCGUUUAUUUGAUAGUACCUUACUACUUGGAUAACCGUGGUAAUUCUAGAGCUAAUACAUGCUGAAAACCCCAACUUCGGGAGGGGUGUAUCUAUUAGAUAAAAAACCAAUGCCCUUCGGGGCUUCUUGGUGAUUCAUGAUAACUUUACGGAUCGCAUGGCCUUGCGCCGGCGACGGUUCAUUCAAAUUUCUGCCCUAUCAACUUUCGAUGGUAAGGUAUUGGCUUACCAUGGUUUCAACGGGUAACGGGGAAUGGGGCGGGGGCGGCGGGCCGGGCGCGGGGCGCGGCGGGCGA
rnacentral:rRNA from 1 species